CAACAAAAUUUAAAACGAACUAUCCCUUUCUUUCUUUCUUUCUCUCUCUAUCUUUCAAUUUCAAGCACGAAGAGAAGGCGAUCUGAGUGGAUGAGGUGAGAAGUUGGGAGCUGAUUCGCGUCAACCAUCUCGCAACAAAAUUUCUGACCAAACAUGAAAUUCGUGUUUUUCAAGGUAUUGUCUGCUUCUUCAGAUGACGAACAUUGAGUUUCUAUUGCCCCCUGUCUGUUAUUUAUAGAAAUUGUGGAUCUUUAUGAUUUCAAUGAGUGAAUUCAAAUAUUGGAUAUUGGCUGGUUGAUGUUUGACAUAUGGUUGUUUGUUGCGUGCUAUCUUCCGGUCCCUUAUCAAAAGGAGUAUCUGCUUAACAUGGUUUUAUGGUAUUGAUUGUUAGAUAAUAUUCACAUUGCUGUCUUAAAUAGCAUUAUUCAUGUCGCCUCAUGUGCUGAACGCCUACUAAAUAUCAUGGUAACAAAUAAACUGUAUACUGUGAAAAAUCCAACCUUGGAAGUCAUAAUGACCCCAAGAUAAUAUAAACUUAAAGAAUUAGGAUUUCCUUUUCUUGAAAUCCAGAUUGAUUUGAGUGAUUAAAGUUGUUCAAAUGGCUAUACAGAACAUGAUUUUCUGCUUACAUGUCUCACUAUAUUGUCAAGGAGAGAUACGAAGUUCCGAAAACUUGAAUAUAUAUGCUUCUUGACAACAUGCCUAAUUGAAACAAAUGUAGUUCUUUCUGUUUAAGAAAUUUUAAUGUAAUGAUGAAACUUAUAAGAAAAAAAAUGCAAGUGAAAUAUGUUGCCAUAUAGCUGGAAACAACAUGCAAUGGGUAAGAAUGGACAGUUGAAAUUAGGACCAUUUGGUGAGUGGUGGGUAAUAGUAGCUUGGAGUUUUCCAGUUUUCCCGUAUAUCCUUUUAGUGUAAUCUUUACCUAUAUGAAAAUAUCAAACUCAAGUGUAGUCCAUAACUCCAUUGCCUAUCUAGUGUCAAGCCGAAUGGAUACUGAAGUUCUAUUCUCUAGGCGACAAACAUGCAAUAGCUACAUGGUCUUUUUAAACACUGUGAGGAUGAUUAAGAUAACUGUGAUUGUUGAAAUUCUCUACCUCCUAUUGUUUCUGAUUUGAGAAUUUUCUUGGCAAUUAUUUUCCUUGAGGUCUAGAUGCUUUGCUGACAAAAGUUCCCAUGAUAUUCCAGCUAUGGGGACAAUAAGGGGUAAAGUUGUCAAGAUUUCAAAGUAUUCUAAGAAUUAAUGAGGACAAGUACCUUACAUGAUUAAAAAGUUAAAUUAGGGCCGAAUUUUUUUUGGGGAAAUGAUGAGCUCUAGAUGGAUAAGUAUAUAAAAGAAAAAUAACUAACAGUUAGAAGAAGGCAGGUUCAAUUUGAAGACAUUGAACAAUUCUCGGCUUCAGAAGUCAUAAUAAGAACAUAAGAACAUAUACUUACAUUCUUGUUUUUGUUUACUCUUCAUCUUCUUUUAAAGUGCAUCAUGAACUUUAUCUACUCGAAUUUAUGGGAGUGUACACCCUUAUUUGCUUACAUUAGAGGGGUAUUCUGCUGUAAGGAAGCUACAGUGAUUCCAAAGAUGGAAAUCCCUUUAUCUUUUCAAGACAGAAAGAUGGAGUCCAUGGAAGUUCUUAAGUUAGUCUUAUUAACUAAAAAGAAAAAAGAAACAGCCAGUAUGAAAGUAGGGGGAUUCCUGGUUUUCCUUGCCUCUAAGCUAACUUAUGUUGCCUAUGAGACUAUUUUAUCUCUGACAUCAGUUAUACAUCAAUUGACAAUGAGAUUGUGUAUACUAUGACUUGUUAAUAUCAACAUGGAAGAGGUGAUAAGUUAGGAGCAAUGAUGGUAUAACAGCUUCCCCCUCUACCCUAAAGAAGCUCCACCACUAAGCCAGUGUUUCUAAACAGUAAUUGCGACCACAAGAUUAAUAAUUCCCAACCAUUGCUCUUUAUAAAAUCAAUGACUAAUUUAACAGAAUUCAACUAUUCAAGCUUACCUCACAUGUUUGCAUACUCAUCUUUUGAAUGCAUUACCCAUGCUAAUACUCCUGAAAUCAAAUCAAUCAUUUGUUUACCCAUGAAGAAGAAUAGUACUAGUCAUUUACACCUCUCACACAUCACCUCAGAUACUUACAAUAUAUCAACUAAUGUACCUAUUUAACCAAUAAUUACACAACCAGCUAACUUUAGUAUUGGUAGUUAAAUAUGGGUAGAUUUAACUAAAGUUUGGUAGCUGGCUAAUCAGAGUGAUGUAUUGGGAAAUGUUUGAGUUGCUUUAAUUACGAAAAAGUAAUGAAUAAAAGCUCUUGCCCAUGAUUCUGUGUUAAAGAAAAAUAGUGGACAACCUAUUAUGUAUUUGCCGUGCAAGCGUACACUAUAAAAGCCAAUUUGACAAUGUAGAAGUACUACAAUCAAAGUAACUACUGUAACAAUUCAGGGUUUUCAUGCACUUAAAAGAAAAUUAAAUGUGAAAUGUAUAUAGUUCUGUUCUUUAUAACUAAGCAAUAAAAUUACUUUCCUCUCCUCUGGUUACUUCUUCCAUGGUUUCCAAACAGCGAGAACGAUGAUGAUGGCAAUGACCAGGAACAAUAUAAUGGAAAUCAUCAUGCAUUUUCUUGAUUUCUUUUGCAAACUUUUUGCAGUUUGGAGAGCGUCGUUACCCAGUCUCACAUGAUCAGUUGCGUUUGUCACCUGUUCAUUGCAGAAUGGCAUUUUAAAAAGACAUUAUUAGCUGUCCGAAAUAAUAAAUAUUUUCCUAGUAGUUCAAAUCUUUUGCAAUUGAUGCAAUAGUUACAUUAUUCUUUCCAAACAAUAAACAUAGAAAUGCUACUGGUGCGAAUUAGUUCCUCCACUGUAAAUAGUUAAUAUGAUUAUAAAUAGGUUUGAUAGGAAAUAAUUGAAAAACAUGUCAAUAUUAGUUA